ensembl:lncRNA
CGCGAUGACUCGACGUGAUCACACCGCGACCUGGAUACACACGGAGAGUUUGGAACGUUCUGAACUGGUGAAAUCCUUAAAUUGGCAGAUCUGGAAAAAAACAACAACAACAACAACAGCGGUGUAUAGGAGGUUCUUUACUCUGGUCUCAGAUGUUCCAGAAGCCGCUGGAUGUUUAUCGCCUCUGCGGGGAGUCCAGCAGCUCUUACGUCAUCGAGUCUGGGCCAAAGGCCACGAUGAAGUUAAUUACCGGACGUGACGUCUGAACAUGAAGAAGUCUCUUCUUACUGUCGAAAUAUAUUCCUCAAUUGACGGAAGGGCGUUUUAUGAAAGUGAUGAACAAAUAGAAAAUAAACUUUGAUAACUGACAUUUUAAUCUUUG